ACAUCCUGGAGCGUAGUUUUAACCCUCCAUCCUUAUGCCUGUGGAUACCUAGCGAGGACACAGAGCACCUACCCAGCGAGCAUGCACUAGGUCUCCGUAAUGUCUCAAAAGGUCCCAACAGGAAAUCUGUGUCUACCAGGAACCUUCCAGUUGCUCUCAGCUUCCUGUUUGUGGUUGUGAUGUGAACUCAGCUUCCUGCUCUUGCUGCCAGGCCUCUUGAGCAAGACAGACCCUUAUCUCUCCGGAACCGGUCUCAUGGUAUAGUUAUGUCGGGAGAUCAGGCUGGCCUCCAGCUUGCAGCAAUCCUCCUGUCUCUGCCUCUGGAGUACCUGGGUCACCACACCUAGCUAGAAGUCUUUAUUGGUAUGGAAGCUUCCCUCUCUGCACUGGGAGGAGAGGAGCU
ensembl:lincRNA Gm43878 predicted gene, 43878